UACAGAGGUCCCAAGCGUUGUUCGGAUUCAUUGGGCGUAAAGGGUGCGUAGGCGGCGCGGUAAGUCGGGUGUGAAAUCUCGGGGCUUAACUCCGAAACUGCAUUCGAUACUGCCGUGCUUGAGGACUGGAGAGGAGACUGGAAUUUACGGUGUAGCGGUGAAAUGCGUAGAUAUCGUAAGGAAGACCGGUGGCGAAGGCGGCUCUCUGGACCACAACUGACGCUGAGGCGCGAAAGCUAGGGGAGCAAACAGG
rnacentral:rRNA from 1 species